rnacentral:rRNA from 1 species
UCUUGUGCAAUGGGCGCAAGCCUGACGACGCAACGCCGCGUGGAGGAUGAAGAUCUUCGGGUCGUAAACUCCUUUCGAUCGAGACGAACGGCCUCUGGGUGAACAAUCCAGGGGAGUGACGGUACCGAGCGAAGAAGCCCCGGCUAACUCCGUGCCAGCAGCCGCGGUAAUACGGGGGGGGCAAGCGUUGUUCGGAAUUACUGGGCGUAAAGGGCUCGUAGGCGGCCAACUAAGUCAGACGUGAAAUCCCUCGGCUUAACCGGGGAACUGCGUCUGAUACUGGAUGGCUUGAAUCCGGGAGAGGGAUGCGGAAUUCCAGGUGUAGCGGUGAAAUGCGUAGAUAUCUGGAGGAACACCGGUGGCGAAGGCGGCAUCCUGGACCGGCAUUGACGCUGAGGAGCGAAAGCCAGGGGAGCAAACG